CCCGACGGCUGCCUCGUAAUAGCAUUAUCUAAGAAGAAGACAAGAAAAAAAUUAAAUUUUUCUUACAUCGGUGCAGCACGGAGAAGACGCAGAAAUCAAUGAAAGACGAUCCUUUGCGUAGGCAAGAUGUAAAAGAUUGCUAGAGGAAGGGGAACAAAUAUCCUUUAAGCUCUCUCUCUCUCUCUUGUAGGGUAGAAUAGAUCGCUCUCCAAAGUUGAUUUAAUAACCCACUUAAGGUGGACUUAAAUAGGCUUUGAGAGAAAUUUAUUUCCCUUUCCUAGAAGGACCUAAUUUCCUAUUAAAGAGAGAAUCUACAUCAAAAUAGGAAGCAAUCCUACGUUUCCUAAAGCAAGAUGAUCUCUACACCUGCUGCCGUUUCCUACGAGCAGCCUAACAGGUGUGGGGGCAUUUGUGGAGCCAAAAAUAAUCAAAAGGCGACAUGUGGAUUUGGACAAAAGAGGGCAAAAAUACCCUUGAGGUACAACGGGAUUCCUACGCGCGAGCAACGGGCAAUCAUCGUUCAACCAAAUCAAAAGUGCCCAAAAUAGAUAACAAAUUCAAAGGUAUUUCAUCCAUCCUCAUCCUAUAUUUUCCACAAGGUAAUUAUUUCAUAACCUUCAAAACAUCCUAUAUAAAUUACAUAAACCCCAAAAUAUUUAUUCCAAAAAUGUGUUGAUUAACCAAUUAAUGGAUUAAUUUCCUAAUUAAUCCAUUAAAUCACACAUUAAACCAUAAGUUACACCCAUCCAUAUAAAUAGGCUCCUAUUUUCACCAGAAGAUCAUUCCAACACACUUGCAAAAUUCCCAAUACUCUCCAAAUACUUUUCUCUCUAAAUUCUAACUUUAGCAUUAGAGGUUGUUCGGUCAAAGCCCUCUCCCCCAUUCAUCGUGGGCGCGUGAGGCUCUUGGCCUUGACCCUAAGGUGUUAAUUGUUUUGUGGGUGCAAUUUUGUCCAAGAUCAAUGAGGAAGAAAUUUGCAUCCACAUUACUCGUUUUAAGGUUGUAAAAAAAUAUGCGAAUCUUACUUUUGUAAUGUGUAUUUGAAGCCAAUAAAGAUACGAGAUAGACGAGGGAGAGAGAGCAUUGAGGAGAGAGGAGAGGGAUUUUUUUUAAUUAAUUAAUUAAUUUUAUUCCAACUGGCGAAGGAUUUGAUCUUGCUCCUGCCACAUUAUCAUUUAACAAUCAAAUUGAUAGAAAAAUUAACGAGGGUCUUACAUUGAAACAAAUUCAUAAGUGGAGGUAUGAUAUUGCAAUAUUUAAAACAUGAGGUAUGAGAUUAUGGUUCAAUCCAUAAUUGAGGUAAUUUUAUGUAAUUUACCCAAAUUUUAAACAGUACCUUUUCAAGAUCAAAUGAUCUAGGCCAUUGAAAUUUGAUCCAACGGCUACAAUUAUUAUGAUCUAGUGCAAGUGGGAGAUUGUUGGAAAUGUGCCCUAAAACCAAUCAUAUGAUGAUACUUUACGGACAUUUCACAUGUUAAACUAAUCUAGUUUAAUAUCAAGGGAAAAGGUUAUUGUUUGAGCCGUCUCAUAUAAAUGUUAUACGCUUAAACGAUAAGUCCAAGGAAUAUGUGAUUGGGAGAAUGCGAUCUAAAGAAGUUAGAUUCAUGAGACCAUUAUUUCGUAGACACAUCCUAAACGUUCCUGAUCAUAGGAUUGCCAAUUGGGCAUUGACAGUCCGUUAAGAUCAGUACGUACUGUGUCUUCUCUCAGGG
rnacentral:lncRNA from 1 species